AACAAAUUUUUAUUAUUUAUUAAUAAAUCUUUUUUUAUCGAUUUAUACAGCAGUAUAUUUGAUAGGAUUAAAAGCUAUUAAAAAAAUCCCAAAAUUGACGUCGCAUUAGUGUCAUUCAACAUCGGCUGUAUAUAAAUAGGCUGAGAUAAAUUUUUACCACGCAGAACUAGAUAUUCGUAUAAAGAGCUUAGAUAAUUUUUAAUUCAAAAAAUAUUUUGAAGUUGCAUUGCAUACAAUAGUAAAAGUUGAAAAUGUUAAUUAUAACGUUAUUUUUGUUCUUCGGGGUAACUCAUUCUAAUGUUGUCGAUCUGGACGACGAAAAUAACCGGUGCCUUGUGCAUGGCAGUUUUUGCCACCCUAUUUUUGAAAAUCAGUGUUGUGAUGAAAAGCAGUCAUGCAGAGUAAUUGAAGAUAAUAUGGGCUCAACCACAUCUUUAUGUUUAAGAAGAGCAAGAAUAGGAGAAACUUGUGAAAAUAAUCUCGAUUGCUUAGGUCUCGAUUUUGCAGUAUGCAAUAAAAAUAAAAAAUGUCAAUGCAUCGAAAAUUACACUUCAUUUUACGGAUUUAAGUGUGCGACCCCUUAUUUAGGCAACCGUUGUACGCAAGAUGUUCACUGUAGGGUUGAUAAUUCGAUGUGCAUUGAUUCUAAGUGUACAUGUGCUGAUGGUUAUCAAUCUCGAUCCAAUAAUGAGUGUAUUCCAAGUAAGUUUAUGAAAUAGCAAAAUAAAUUUGGAGAGCGAAAUUAGGUUUAAAAACAUGGACAUAAAUUUUAAUUAUUUUGCGACACGUAAUUAUUGUACAAUUAUAAGUUGUUAAUUUUGACCCUUCAAGCGACUCUGGGACAAAGUUGUGAAGAUGAUAACGAUUGUGACGAUCUGAUGCAUAUUAAAUGUUUUUAUGAUGAUCUCGAUAAAACAAAAAAAUGUGUAUGCAGAGAGCAUAGAGUGUUAAAGAAUAAUUUUGAAUGUGGGUCAUUAUUAGGAGGAUACUGUGAAAAUAACGAUCGUUGCGCAGUUAAUAAUUCUGUUUGCAUUGAUAAUAUGUGUCAAUGUAGCAAUAGUUAUAUACUUAUGGCAAGGGAUAAAUGCGAACCAACAUCGCUCGGAAAAUCAUGUGAAUUCGAUAUCGAAUGCCAGGAAAAAGUACUUUACUCAACAUGUUCUAAACAAAAUAAGUGCAUCUGCAAAAAUAAUUAUAUUAAAGUAAACAACUCAAAGUGUGUACCAAUUUUGGGAGAAUUUUGUUAUUAUAAUGAACCAUGUGCGGUUAAAAAUUCUGUUUGUAUUAACGAUACAUGUCAAUGUGACACCAAUUACACAGCUGCAUCCAAGUAUCAAUGUAUUGCACAAAACUGAUAUUUUUAUAAAAAUCUGAUUACACAGUUAGAUAUUUCGUGCUAAAUUCAACACAAAUUGGAUAUUCCAAACGGUCUACACAAAUUUUUGUGUUAAUUUAACACAUUGCGUUAGUGUUGAUCUUCAACACAAAUUUUAUGUUAAAUGAUUGAACAAAUACAAUCUGUUGUUUUGACAGAAAAUUUGUGUAAA